UCUAAAUCAACAAUUUUGAGAGGACCGUUGUUGGUGCGCUUUGUAAAUUCUAGUUGAUGCAAUAAAGUCAAGUUCAUUUGAUCUACGUCUUCGACUUUCAUUUACUAGUAAUUUUCUGGAUUCUGACGAUCUGAUCGGCGCUGGUGACUUUCUGGAUUUCGACGAUCUGAUCGGCAGCACAGGAGUGGCGAGAUAAAGGUAGCGGUGGCAUAAGGAGCAAGGCGAUCAAGAUAUUCUUCGACAGAGAGGAGAAAGGAUAUCGUGCGUGCGUCGUUGGACGGAGAACGUGGUUUGUCUCAUGGACAUGGGUUGGGCUGGGCUGGGUUUUUUACGCAUGGAGCAAAAAAGCACAUCUCUAAUUUCUAUUGGAUCACUGAUAAAUAAUUUUGAAUGUUUUGUCCAUUAUCUUGUUUUGAUACAGCAUUGUAGUGUGUUUCUCACUAUCACUGAUUCUGGUUAAU